rnacentral:rRNA from 1 species
AUGAACGCUAGCUACAGGCUUAACACAUGCAAGUCGAGGGGCAGCAUGGUCUUAGCUUGCUAAGAUUGAUGGCGACCGGCGCACGGGUGAGUAACGCGUAUCCAACCUUCCCUAUAGUAGGGGAUAGCCCGUAGAAAUGCGGAUUAAUACCCUAUGUUGUAUUUCGAGGACAUCUGACGAAUACCAAAGGUUCACCGCUAUAGGAUGGGGAUGCGUCUGAUUAGGUAGUCGGCGGGUAACGGCCCACCGAGCCAACGAUCAGUAGGGGUCUGAGAGGAAGGUCCCCCACAUUGGAACUGAGACACGGUCCAAACUCCUACGGGAGGCAGCAGUGAGGAAUAUUGGUCAAUGGGCGAGAGCCUGAACCAGCCAAGUAGCGUGCAGGAUGACGGCCCUAUGGGUUGUAAACUGCUUUUAUGCGGGGAUAAAGUGAGGGACGUGUCCCUUAUUGUAGGUACCGCAUGAAUAAGGACCGGCUAAUUCCGUGCCAGCAGCAGC